ACGGCUAGUCCUAGGAGUCAUAGCGUAUGGGGCUAGCUUAUAGCCUACCAUACCCGGGAGCAAGGGGGAGGAGAUAGAGGUGACAGCGAACUGGCUAUGUAGCCGGCUUAAUGGCUACACUUUAUCCACAGCGGGACUGUAUCAUGCAUACACUAGGAUUUUUUUUCUAGACUAAUGUUUGCUGAAAUUUGUUCUACGCCAACGGAUCCAGUGCGACAGGUCAUAAAAUAAUAUGCAGCUGAAGACUUCACAGUGAAUGUAUCCGGCAAGCAAUAAGGUCGGUCGACAUGGCUUAACUGUUCAGAUAUCAGUAGACUAGUACGGCGGCCAAACGCGAGAAGAGCUGUGCCCUCGCAAUAUAAAUCAAAACACUCGAGAGAGCCAUCGACUUCAAAAGCAUUUUGCCGCUCAGAAAUAAAAUUACUGAAGCAACGAUCCGAAGGCAGUACGUCGGGGAGGGAGUCAUAUUCUGAUUCGGACCAAGACAGGACCCACACAUCAAUUUGUCUUGCUUGACGCACGUUCUGAUUUCUUGCAGAUAUCCAGAACACGGAAUAAGGCAACAAAACACAAUAAUAAUGUGGAACAAUUCUCGACGUGUAGGCUACAACCAGGACCCAACACACUGAUUUCCCCUUGUUCCCGACCGGGCCGCAGAACGGGACGCCGCACCACCCAAAUACCCAGAAGCCACCAGGCCUCUGCUUGUUAUGAGCAGGGGGUUGGGGGGGAGGUGUGGGGAGUUAACAAACACACCACCCACAGCUUUAUCGUAGCCCUCUCUUUCCUGAUGUAUCUAUUUUGUUAACAUUGACUUUCAUUCCCUAUAUAUCCCCAAAACUAGCCUACUAAUAACAAAUACAGCAUUUGACUACAUACUGCAUUAGCAUAACACUAGCAUAACAUUACUACUAGCAUAACAUAACUAGGAUAGCAUUACUAAAAUUCUGUACUCGUGUUCUAUUGACAGUACUUACACGCUGCCACGCAUUCUAAUGAUAUACCUAUCAAUGCCUUCAAACAUCUAGCAGCAAAUGAUCAUUGGAAACUGCUACCAUAGCUUUGAGAGUAGCCUGCAUAGAUCAGUCAUUCAACCUUUCCCACUUGUCAAGUGGUUUGAGGGCAGUGGUGAGGUACCUGUUGAGACACACACACACUCCGGGACCAUGCUGAGCAUUCUGGCUGCUGGCUCCAUCUUCUUCCCGGGCCUGUUCCUGCUGUCUAAGAGAUGCCUGAAACACACCCCAGGCCUGGCCUUGAGCGAGGGAGAUGCCACCAUAGUGUCUGCCAGGCUGGUGUCAUCCAUCCAAGCCAUCAUGGCUUCCUCAGCUGGCUACAUCAUCGCAUCCUCCUGUGAGGACAUCAUCGAGGAUCAACACUGGCUUACCAGUACCUACAUCCUGUUUGCGGUGCCCUACUUUGCGUACGACAUCUACGCUAUGUUCCUGUGCUACUGGCACAAGCUACAGGUUAAAGGGCACGAGGAGGAGGGCGGCAGGCCAAAGCCAAUGGGCUCGGCAGUGGCCAGCUACCUGCGCAGAGAGUUCCUCAUGGUGCUGCACCACGUCGUCAUGGUUACCAUCUGCUUCCCCGUCUCCGUGUUCUGGAGGCAGGGAAAGGGGGAUUACUUCCAGGGUGUCAUGUUUAUGGCUGAACUCAGCACUCCGUCCGUCUGCCUGGGGAAAAUCCUCAUCCAGUACAAGAAGCAGCACACUCUUCUUCAUAAAGUGAAUGGCGCUCUCAUGCUGGUCACUUUCUUCAUCUGUCGAGUUCUGCUCUUCCCCUACCUCUACUAUGCCUACAGCAGGUAUGCCUCCAUCCCCCUCUACACAGUGCCCCUUGUGGCUCCCUGGCAGUGCAACGUGGGGGCCUUCUGCCUCAUGGCCCCACAGGUCUACUGGUUCACCCUCAUCUGCAGGGGCGCCUUCCGCCUCUUCACCGGGGCCUCGCGCUCCCGGCCCCCGGCCACCCUCAACAAGCCUGAUGGCUGCUGCCCCGGCCAGGGAGCCCCUUUACCUCCCCCGGCCAACGGCUACAGUCCCGUCCCCCACCAGGCAGACAGAGAGACCGACACACACUGAGAAAGAGAAGAAAGAGGGAGGGAGAGAUGGAAAGGAAGAGGGAUCACUGUGGGGACAGGGCCAGCCAGACCAGGCCGGGAAGACUGAGUGCCCCUUCAGAGUUACAUGGACCUCUGGAUGAAGAGAGAGACAGACUGAAAGAGGAGAGGGUAAAGAAAGAAUGAACUAAAUGAACUAACUAAUUAAGCAUGAGUGAUAGAGCUCAUUUGACUGAGUUAAAGGGAUAGAUAAAAAAAAUUCUUCUCUUGAAAGAGAAAUGCAACUGCUGUUCUACAUUAGGGAAGGAUACAAAAUGAAUAUAUCAUAAUGUAUAGAAAUAUGUAGUAAAUUAUAAUUUGGUGAUCAUUUGAUUUUGGUGACUGCAAAAAGGGGGAUGAAGACAAUACCAUUAUUUCAACUUGUGAUCCUGGUACUGUAUUAUUUGUCCAUCAAGAUGAUCCACUCAGGAUCGAUUGAGUGGGUCUUGUCUUGGGAAAGGACAGAGGAACACGCACCGGCGCCUCUGGUAUUGCUUCGUUCUGCCUUCUCUCCACUCUGAAAUUCUCUCUCGCUCCCUUUUCUCCUGUUAGAAAACUAAUGUGAGAGGAGAGGAAGGGGGUUUACCCCAAAAUGUGACAGGUUUAUAAUAGUAGAUGAGUAAAUGUCAUUUUAGGUUUUUAUAUUGCUCUCAUUCAAAGCAUUUAUUAAUGUUGAUGGACUUCUUAGUAUUGGUAGACAUUUUUAUUCCUCCCGCCCUCUUGUACUCACUCCCCACUUCAAUCAAAAGAGGAGAGAACGAGAGAUGGAAUGUUGGAGAGAUUAAUAGAGGGAGAGAGAGAAGGGGGGGAGUAGUAGACUCAAAUGGGACAGUGAUGCAGCUGUGCUGUCCCAGUCACCCACCCAAGUUGAGUAACGCUGGCAGGCAGUCUUCAGUACACAACUGGGUGGGUCUGUGCAGCUUACCAGAUCUUUACGAUGCUUGGAGAGGUGUUUAAUGUCUCAGAAACCCCAUCAACAUAAUAUAAUGAUCAGGAACACUGCUAUCAUCACCAUGGCUGUUGUGGAAUUAGGUCUCCUGCAGGCUAAACAGGGUAACCACAUUUUAGAAUCUACAGGCGUUCUACAGGCGUUCUACAGGCGUUCUACAGGUGUUCUACAGUCUGCUGAUGUAAGGGAUUCGUAGAUGAUCUAGGAAGGAUUUUGACAGAGUAAGUUGUUGCAGUGUGUUCAACCGUAAGGGGGGAAUUUAAAAUAGAUUGCACUGGCAACUGUUGUACUCUCUUUAUGCAUUGAGGAAUUUGUGCGAUAGUGCCCGAAGAAGAAACAUAUUGACAAUGCACUGAGAGAAGGCACUGUGAGGUUGGAUUGGGUGGUGGUGGGGGGGGGGGGGGGGGGGUAGUAAUUUCCAAAUUUUUCAACCGCUAUUUAGUUUUAGUUUUGUGUGUGUUUGUUUUACUUGUGAUUUUAAUUAUGUUUUUGGUGUCGUUUACUCAUGUUGACACAGUGUGCAAUCGCACUAAUGUAGCUAUCUACUGUAUCUAAGGUUGCGUCAUAAAUGCCAUUUGGGACGAAGCCUAAGUCAAGAGGGUUGAAAUGUGGUCCUUGAAACUCAAUCCCACCUUGAACACUUGACCACUGCCUUGGGUUGUAACUUGGAGCCUUUGGUUGUGACUCUACUAGCCUGGUCUCCGAUCUCUAGCGGUUCAUAGAAGAAAAGAGAACACAUAGAGGGACUACUUUAUAAUAUGCUGGACUAUACUUAUUGCAUCAAGUGAACACAUAGAGGGACUACUUUAUAAUAUGCUGGACUAUACUUAUUGCAUCAAGUGAACACAGGGACUACUUUAUAAUAUGCUGGACUAUACUUAUUGCAUCAGGCUGUCUUCUGCUGAAUAGCUGCAUGAUAGGAAUGAGAGAAUGGCUUUUUGACCAUUGGCCGAUAUUAACCUGGGAACACUGUAACACUUAACUUAGUUACUAUUUACAAUGGUCAGGUAUGGUACUAUUUAAAAUGGCUUAUUGAGGAUUUGUUAAUCCCCACACCCAGAACCGAAUCAUCUGCUCGAUUUUUUGUUUUGUUAUGAUAGAUUUUUUUUUCAUUCUUGCUUUAUAACUGAUUUAAAGGCACUGAUUAAAGGUACAUUGAUUGGGAAAUUGUAUGAUCAACAUUAUUUUCCAUGCCAAAAAGUAGACCUAAGCGUCCGACAAGGGAUAUCAACUGUAGAGUUGAUCGUACAAAUCAAAUGUCAUUCCUAAAAAAUGAAUUAUGUUCACAAAUGUCAGUUCACAUGCGCCCAAUACAACAGGUAUUACAGUGAAAUGCUUACUUACAAGCCCUUAAACAACAAUUCCGUUUUAAUAAAAAUAAGAAAUAAAAGUAACAUCAUUAAAGAGCAGCAGUAAAAUAACAAUAGCGAGGCUAUAUACAGGGGAUACCUGUACAGUAUCAAUGUGCGGGGGCACCGGUUAGUCGAGGUAAUUGAGGUAAUAUAUACAUCUAGGUAGAUGUAAGAUUAGGGGGUCUAUUCAAUCUGCAUCACGAAAGUUCAGUUUUUCAGCGUGAUUGAAAUUUAAAAGGCAAUGUUCCCGCUUUUUCAGACUGCAUUGACGUUAAACGCUGCAUGUCGACUCAAUCUGAAAUUGCCUACACAUUUCUAUAACGGAAUCUGUAACGCUUCAGCUUUACAGAUUGAAUAGAGCCCUAUGAUUUAUUUUUAUGCGUAUUCAACACCAGAGCAAUUUUUUUCUGUUCCUCAUCUGUCAGAGGUCACUGAAACUGCCACUAAAUAUAAUUUGUACUCGAUUACAAAGUUUAGUUCGAGGAGAUACGCUUUGAGUGAGUGAGAGAGGUGUUGGGAGUUAAGACAAGUUGAUGAUGAUUUAAGCCAAAAAUGUGAUAUCUUCUUCUAGUGUUUACUUUUGCAACUGGCCCCCUCUAGUCCAUUAUAAAUGAUGCCUUCAUGUUAAACCCUAUGAGCAAAAAAAUAUGUCUUUCGACCAAUUUUGCUCACUAGGUAGUGUUACCUCCCAAAAGAAAACAUCAUCCAUUUGACCAGUUCCUACAGUUCGGUAUGUCCUCUGACAUGGAAAGUAUUACAAAAAAAAUCAACUGCAUCUUCCAUAUUGUUUGUUUUAUACAUUUAUUUUAAUGUGUCUCUGUUAUUUAUUGAAAUGGUUUGAAUGUACAUACGAAUACAUAUAUAAAUGAUAUAUUUCUUGUACAUAUGGGCUUGUGUUCUGUCUGUUGACUGCUGCCUGACUAACCAUGGGCUCUGUAUCUGAAAUGGCACCCUGUUCCCUACAUAGUGCACUACUUUUGACCAGGGUCUGGUUAAAGUAGUACACUAUAGUAUGUAGGGAACACUGGGGUGCCGUUUCGGACGCAGACCUGUUCUGUUGGCUGACAUACUCUGCUCUCGUCUUCUGCUCUGACGACCAACAUGACAUCAUGAUUCUACUGUUCUAGCACCACUGCACUGCUUUUCAAAAUAAGCACCAAGAACUUUGAGUGAACUUUUGCUUUACAUGCAACAGAUUGACCAAUAAAAUCCUCCCCUUUGUUUGUGCAUAAAGAA